GCCUCAUAUCCCUCUCCUGUUGCAGACAUCGGAAAGCCAAUUCUGCAACUGAUGUUGCCAUCUUCCUCACUGCAUAAUCCUUCUUGAACCCAAGACAUGGAUCUACCAACUCAUUUAUUGCAUGAUUUUGGAUUUUGUUGACAGCCAUGUUGGCCAAAUUAAUGUCAAGCUUAUGCCUAUUGGUGUCCACUGCCUGUAAAGAUGAU
rnacentral:misc_RNA from 1 species